rnacentral:lncRNA from 1 species
GGGACUCCUACCAUAUGCUACUGCACUUUGAUACUCGGAAGUCUCACGACCACUCAGUGACUUGGAUUUUUCAAGUUUCCAAACGAGAAGUUUUCCUCACUCGGGAAAUUAAGGGAGCACUACCUCAACCUAUAUGCUUCACUCACAAAACCUCAACAUACAUGCUUCACUCUCAAAGCUUCAACAUACAAGCUUCAACAAAAGAAAAAAUUCAAAGAACUUAGUGAAGAAGGCCUUGGUGUAUUUA